rnacentral:rRNA from 1 species
UACGUAGGGAGCUAGCGUUGUCCGGAAUCAUUGGGCGUAAAGCGCGCGUAGGCGGCCCGGUAAGUCCGCUGUGAAAGUCAAAGGCUCAACCUUUGAAUGUCAGCGGAUACUGCCGGGCUAGAGUCCGGAAGAGGCGAGUGGAACUCCUGGUGUAGCGGUGGAAUGCGCAGAUAUCAGGAGGAACACCGGUGGCGAAGGCGCUCAUCUGGCCCAAUACUGACGCUGAAGCUCGAAAGCUAGGGGAGCAAACGGG